GGAUUAACGUUGGCGGUGCGUCUAAUACAUGCAAGUCGAGCGCUACUUCGGUAGAGCGGCGAACGGGUGAGUAACACGUUGGAAUCUGCCUCGAACUCAGGGAUAACAUCGAGAAAUCGAUGCUAAUACCGGAUAGUCCCGCAAGGGUAAAGAUUUAUCGGUUCGAGAGGAGCCUGCGUCCUAUUAGCUAGUUGGUGAGGUAAUGGCUUACCAAGGCGAUGAUGGGUAGCUGGUCUGAGAGGAUGAUCAGUCACAGGGGAACUGAGACACGGUCCCCACUCCUACGGGAGGCAGCAGUAGGGAAUCUUCCGCAAUGGGCGAAAGCCUGACGGAGCGACACCGCGUGACCGAUGACAGCCGUAAGGUUGUAAAGGUCUUUUCUGAGGGAAUAAUUAUGAAGGUACCUUAGGAAUAAGUAACUGCUAACUACGUGCCAGCAGCAGCGGUAAUACGUAGGUUACAAACGUUAUCCGGAAUCAUUGGGCGUAAAGCGUCCGCAGGCGGCGAAUUAAGUCGAAUGUUAAAUAUCAUGGCCCAACCAUGGUGCCGCAUUCGAUACUGGUUCACUAGAGACUUACAGAGGCUAGUGGAAUUUCUGUGUGUAGGGGUAAAAUCCGUAGAUACACAGAGGAACACCAAAAGCGAAGGCAGCUAGCUGGGUAAGAUCUGACGCUCAUGGACGAAAGCGUGGGUAGCGAACGGGAUUAGAUACCCCGGGUAGUCCACGCCGUAAACUUUGGACACUAGGUGUUGGAGGGCCCGAUCUCUCCAGUGCCGAAGCUAACGCAUUAAGUGUCCCGCCUGGGUAGUACGAACGCAAGUUUAAAACUCAAAGGAAUAGACGGGGACCCACACAAGCGGUGGAGCAUCUGGUUUAAUUCGAUAUUGAGCGAGGAACCUCACCUAGGCUUGACAUCCCGAGAAUUUCUUGGAAACAGGAAAGUGCCUUUUGGAACUCGGUGACAGGCGCUGCAUGGUUGUCGUCAGCUCGUGCCUUGAGGUGUUCGGUUAAGUCCGUAAACGAGCGCAACCCUUGUCCUAUGUUGCAUUUUUUCAUAGGAGACUGCCGGUUCUAAAUCGGAGGAAGGUAAGGACGACGUCAAAUCAGCAUGGCCCUUAUGCCUAGGGCUACACAGGUGCUACAAUGGCUGGUACAAUGGGCAGCAAUGGAGCGAUCCGGAGCAAAUCCCUAAAACCAGUCUAAGUUCGGAUUGGAGGCUGCAACUCGCCUCCAUGAAGUUGGAAUCGCUAGUAAACGCGUAUCAGCAAUGUCGCGUUGAAUAUGUUCCUGGGUCUUGUACUCACCGCC
rnacentral:rRNA from 1 species